rnacentral:rRNA from 1 species
GAUGAACGCUGACAGAAUGCUUAACACAUGCAAGUCAACUGUGGCGGACGGGUGAGUAACGCGUAAAGAACUUGCCUAACAGAUAGGGACAACAUUGGGAAACGAAGGCUAAUACCGGAAACUGUGAGAGAGCUUUGCGUCCCAUUAGCUAGUAGGAGAGGUAACGGCUCACCAAGACGAGGAUGGGUAGCCGGACUGAGAGGGUGAUCGGCCACAAGCGGACUGGGACACGGCCCUUACGCCUACGGGAGGCAUCAGUGGGGAUGUUUGGACAAUGGACCAAAGUCUGAUCCAGCAAUUCGGUGUGCACGAUGAAGUUUUCGGAAUGUAAAGUGCUUUCUGUUUGCAAGCGGUACCAACAGAAGAAGUGACGGCUAAAUCCGUGCCAGCAGCCGCGGUAAUUC